GAUUCUGAUCAACUGAAGAAAAAGAUAAAUGACCUGGAGACACACCUCAGAAAGUCAGAGCCAGAAAAGCAACAUUUGAAGGAGGAAAUUAAAAAGCUGAAAAAAGAACUGGAAAAUUUUGACCCUUCAUUCUUUGAAGAAAUUGAAGACCUGAAGUACAAUUAUAAGGAAGAAGUGAAGAAAAAUAUUCUCUUAGAAGAGAAGUUAAACAAACUUUCUGAACAAUUUGGAUUUGAAUUGCCUAGCCCACUUGCUGCUUCUGAACAACGGGAAGAUGGAGAAAGUCCUAAUGGCGUCCCGAUUUAUUAAUGGCCUCAUUUAAAACUGUAGAUUUAAAACUACUGAUGACAUAGAAGUUUCAGCUGGAAAUCAGUCUCUGACCUACAGAAUUUACCUCUCAAAAUACUGUAUUAUUUUGCUUAAAAAUAAAAUCAUAUUUAGUUUUAACUUGUUAGAAAAGUAUAUUUUUGAAGACCUCAGUAAUUUGUGACUAUAUAGUAUAUAAUGAGCUACGACAAAAAUUUAUGACUAUAUAGUAUAUAAUGAGCUAUGAUAAAUAUUUCCUAUUUUCAUAUUUUAAAUUCUCUAAAAGCAUAAAGGUAAGCUUAUAACAAUCUUACUAUUUAAAAUUGAUUAUUUUAUACUUAUUUUUGUGUUAAGUUAUUCAAACCUAACGAUGAUUUCUAUAAAUACAUAGAAACAUGUUUAGAAGUUGACAUGUGUUUUGCCAAGCAGCUAGGAAAAAUAAAUUGACCUGUGUAAACAUGGCAAACCUGUCCCAAUAAAAAAAUCACAACAG
rnacentral:lncRNA from 1 species